rnacentral:rRNA from 1 species
CAAUAGCGUAUAUUAAAGUUGUUGCAGUUAAAAAGCUCGUAGUUGGAUUUGUGGCGUACGGUGGGUUCCGGGCACUUGUUGUCUGAGUAACUUGCUGUUGCCCUCCUUGGGUGGAACCUGUGUGGCAUUAGGUUGUCGUGCAGGGGAUGCCCAUCAUUUACUGUGAAAAAAUUAGAGUGUUCAAAGCAGGCUUAUGCCGUUGAAUAUAUUAGCAUGGAAUAAUGAGAUAGGACUUUUUUGCUAUUUUGUUGGUUUGCGCAAAGAGGUAAUGAUUAAUAGGGACAGUUGGGGGUAUUCGUAUUCCAUUGUCAGAGGUGAAAUUCUUGGAUUUUUGGAAGACGAACUACUGCGAAAGCAUUUACCAAGGAUGUUUUCAUUAA